GCCCGGCUAGCUCAAUCGGUAGAGCGUGAGACUCUUAAUCUCAAGGUUGUGGGUUCGACCCCCACGUUGGGUG
rfam:Conidiobolus coronatus NRRL 28638 unplaced genomic scaffold CONCOscaffold_9, whole genome shotgun sequence.